ensembl:lncRNA
GUCUGACAUCGCCGAGGGAAUCGAGGUCAGGGACAAGCAUCAACCUCGGGCAAGCCUGGGGGCGCUGGAGGAAGGGGCCUCAGGGCCCAUGAGGCCAGGCAGUCCCCUGGAGAAGCGGGUAGCUCUCCGGGGCCGGGAGCCUGGGUCAUGUGCUGCAGAAGAGGAUCAGACACGGCCCUGGGAGAUCAAGACCCACAACCAUCAGGGCCAGCGACACAUUUGAGCUUCCGAAGUGAGGUCCCAGCUCCCGGAGCACCGGUGCGUCCGGCGCGUCUGCUUCUGCUCCUCACCAGGUUCCCGCCUGUUUUCCUGCCUCCAAACACACGGACACGUGCGCGCAGGGUUCUGUGUGGCUGGUGCCUCUCCGUCUUUGGUGACCCUCCCGGAGGGUCCACGCUCCAGAACUGGAGAGUUCUGCACCGUCUCUCCCGUUUGGCUGAAGAGGCAGGUCCUCAGGGCAUCUGGACGUUUGUCCCCAGCGUCCCAGCCUUUACUGUGCUUGAGGCGCCUUCCCUAGGAGGGCGUCCAGACACUGGUCUCUGUCUCUGUGUCUCUGUGGUGUUGUGUUGUUUUCAGUUCUUCGAUGUUCGGUGCUCAGCCUGGCGUGCAUCUCGCCCAUCCUGGCUUGGUGGCUCCGGCCGGCACUGUCUUAGAGGGAACCUUCCUCGUCAUGGGGUUCUUGGCAGGCACCGCCCACCAAGGCGGGCAUCAGGCUGCGGCCCCUGCCUCGCCCAGCACCGCCUGUGCGGCCCCCACUACUCAGCUCAGGAGGGGAGUUGCCCACGACGUGCCCCUGGGGCUGGAGCAGGACAGGCCACCGCUGGUCCCACAGGAAGGCAUGGAGCACGGGGAUGGAAGGUCGUGUUCAGGACAGUCCAGAGAGCGUUCUUUGUGUUACCAAGUGGUGGGGACAGUGCCCCCCCCACCCCCCGUCCCCAGCUGCUCGUCCUGCUGCGUCCUGAGAACACAGGAGUCUUGCCACCCUGCUGGGUGCACUGUGUGCUGUUCCUUGCUUUCCAGUCACUGAAACCAUCGGUCUGUGGCUAGAAUAACUGAUUCUGUACGAGCGUGAGGAAGGAAAUAAAAACCACUGGUGAGCACGUUCCUCAAGAUGAGUUUUGUUAUCGUCUUGGGCUGCUUUUCCCCCAGCAUCUCUAAGGCACAGCCACGAUGGGGUCACAGCUCACGGACAGUCGAGGACUCCCAACGUUACAGCGCACACGGGUCGGGGCCGGAAGUGGCGUCGGGAGAGCGGCCAGCCCGCCGCCUGCGCACUCUGCGCCCCGACACCCUCGUGAAGGGCUUCCCGCUUCUCAGAGACGUUUUGCGGCUCGCUGUCGGUCAGGAGCGGUCUACACCAUCUCUACUCAUCCUGUAGAAGCUUCUGGUGCGUGCCGUGAUUGCUCCUCUGGCUGCAACGUCCGUGCAGGAAGGGUGCUCAGAGAGAACUGGGUCUCUGAUCCUUGUCCUGUGCAGGCAGGGUGCCGCCUCCCACGUCCACCAGAUGUGACAAGUGUGUGGAGCUUCCAGAAGGGCUAAGCCGGAGGCAUAGGGUCCCUGAAGCCACCUGUGAUUUGUCCCUGGGUGGGCUCGCUUCCUGCCCCCCACUCGGGCCAUCGAGUUCCAGGCUGCAGAGUGGCACCUUCCACAGCUGGGGCGUCCGAGCCUGGGAGCCCCGAGCAGGUGCCAGACUGUACCGGGCCAGGACGGGGGCGUGGGGACCCCGGCAGAACAGGAACAGCGCUCAGGGCACAUCGUGAUCUGCUGUGUGUGACAGUUGUGCACACCCGGCUGCCCGCGCCCGUGUCUGGGCCCCUGGGUAUGGACCCCAACCGUGGGUGAGGGGCCCCUGGGGCGACCCCUUGCUCGCCAUGUGUGGCUCACACUUGCAGUCCUCUGCCGCAGAAUGGUGUGUCCCCUCUUGGGGGCCCAGUGCCCCCGACCCGGGGGUCUCGGGAAGGCUGCACCUCGUCUGUGGCUGGCUUUCUGGAGCCACUGCCCCGGGGGGCGCCCGGGCAGCUGAGGCAUCUUGCAGGAGCUGGACCACCUUGCUCACGGCCCAUUCCUGUUUCAGACUUUGUUCAGAAGAGUUGAGGCCCCACUUGGCAAAGAAUGUGAUGACAGAUAGGAGAUAAAAAUACUACAUUCACUGAGUGUUCCCUUUUUAAAACAAGAAGUAGGAUUAUGCUGCUAUUUUUAAAUAGACCAGAGAGUCCACGGGAGAGCGCUGGGCGGUGUCCGUGCACGUGGGGGAGGACCGGAACCUCUCCCGACGGCAGCUGCACGGAGGCCGUGCAGCCGGCUCCUCUGGACAUCUGGCCAGUAGCGGGGCAGGGGGGGUGAGUCUGUGACUUGCCAGGUGGGGGAGCCCUGCCCCCACUCACCAAAUACGGCCGCAGAUCCCUUGCCUGUGGGUGGCUCACAGGUGAGGGUGACUUUCCAAGGGGACUUGGUGGUCGGCGUGUGCUCGUGUUAUGUGGAGACCGAGAGCCCACGGACACAGGUGCUUCUGUGGCGGCCACGGCCACUGUGUCCACACAAGACAGGCCCUUGAGCCCCGCCCCCCCCGCGUGGAAACGCCCCUUGGGGAAGGUUGGUGGCCAGCAGGCCAUGGGCUUUGUAAACAAGAGCGUCUCCACGUGAGCCUGUUGGCCCGUGGGGGGGGCGGGGCUCUGCGUGUCUGCACAGCCGCGGGCCUGGGCCUGCUGCAGAGGGACCCGGUCGGCAGGGCUCCCACCGGAAGUGUGUGUUGGUCAAAAGUCCCAGGUGUGCACGUGUGUCUCAGAGCUCCACCAAGAAUGCCGCAGUCAGCGGUGUACAAAUUCAGCAUCACUCCCUCAGUCUUUUUUUUUUUUAACUUUUUAAUGUUUUUAAUUUAUUUUUGAGAGACAGAGAGCGUGAGCAGGGGAGGGGCAGAGAGAGAGGGAGACACAGAAUCUGAAGCAGCUCCAGGCUCUGAGUUAGCUGUCAGCACAGAGCCCAACACGGGGCUCAAACCCACGAACCGUGAGAUCAUGACCUGAGCCGAAGCCGGACGCUUAACCGACUGAGCCACCCAGGCGCUCCCUCCUCAGUCUCUUAAUGAAAUGUCUUUGCCACUUGAGUUAUGAUGUUUUAAUUGUGUGAUUAUGUAAUGACUCACAGCUGUUUAAUUCAAUGUUUUCUGGUUUUUCCCUCUUUUGUAUACACACUUCUGAAAUGAGUCUGUUAGGAAAAAACUGUUUUGUUGUGUUUGUUACUUUAUUCACCUGGAAAUAAUUUCAAAACCAGAAAUAAAAUACGUCACUCAUCACAAAUCUCUGGGCAGGGUGGGGUCUUGUCUGUGUCCCUCGCUGCCCAUGCUUCCCUCAUGGCCCCUUGGACGGGGCGGGUCUGGCUUGACCUUCCAGCAUCAUCAGCCGGGGCCUUCCCCGGGAAACCAUGGCUCUGGG